rnacentral:rRNA from 1 species
UACGUAGGUGGCAAGCGUUGUCCGGAUUUAUUGGGUUUAAAGGGUGCGUAGGCGGUUCAGUAAGUCGGGUGUGAAAACUUUGGGCUUAACCCAAAGCGUGCAUCUGAUACUGCUGUGACCUGAGUUCGGUAGGGGAGUGGGGAAUUCCUAGUGUAGCGGUGAAAUGCGCAGAUAUUAGGAGGAACACCGGUGGCGAAGGCGCCACUCUGGGCCGAAACUGACGCUGAGGAGCGAAAGCAUGGGUAGCAAACAGG